rnacentral:lncRNA from 1 species
GUAAGAACUACUCAUCUCCUAAUUUGCUUCUAUUUUCUCUAUCAAGGAAAAUGAUCUUCAAACUGAAAAGAGUGGAACAAACAGGAAUAAGAGGGAAAUAAAGCUCCAAUUAGGUGAAGAGAUGAUGAGAGAGCUCCUACCUGGUUUGAAUAAGUUCAAGCCCUCAGAUUCAGGGAAAUUCUUCCCAGGGAAACUGGGGGAAUGUACAGGUGUGAUCUUAGAAACACUGUCAGAAGCAGCCGCCCAGCGUGGAGAAGAGCAAGCAUGGCAGAAGUCCGGAGACGGGUAAAUGUCCUGACUGUCUACAAGUAGAAAACGGCAUACUGCAAAAGCAGAAUGCUGCCAUCAACAACAGUCCCUGGAAAAACAUUUAGAGAAUUUCAUCAAAUAGCUUUUGAAAGUGUGUACAGAAAAAUAUGGCAACCCUUGGGAAUCAUCCAGCUUCUCUGAGACCAGAGCACACCAAGAUAACUUUUGGACAUUGUUAAGAACAAGAUGAGCGGACAAAGUAAGAUUUAUAAUGUUCUAAAGAAACAAAGUAGGCUGGGGUUGUGGCUUGGUGGUAGACCACUUGCCUAGCACAUGUGAGG